CUAGGAAGUCUAAAUGCCCUGAAGGCACCAGAUCUAAUCUGAUCUCAGAAGCUAAGCAGGGUCAGCCCUGGUUAGUAUUUGGGUGAAAGAUGUCCAAGGGAUACUAUGU
rnacentral:rRNA from 1 species